rnacentral:rRNA from 1 species
CAAGUCGAACGCUGAAGCACAGCUUGCUAGUGUGAUGAGUCGCGACAGGGUGAGUAGUACGUGAGUACCUGCCCUUGACUAUGGGAUAAGCCUGGGAAACUGGCUCUAAUACUGGAUGCUACAUGUCAUCGCAUGGUGGUGUGUGGAAAGGGUUUAGUGCUCUAGGAUGGGCUCACGGCCUAUCAGCUUGUUGGUGAGGUAAUGGCUCACCAGGCGAUGACGAGUAGCCGGCCUGAGAGGGUGACCAGGCCACACGUAGGUGCACUGAGACAGCGGCCCAGAUCAUAUCGGUGAGGCAGCAGUGGGGAAUAUUGCACAAUGGGCGAAAGCAUGAUGCAGAGACGCCGCGUGAGUGAGAUGAUGGCUUUCGGGUUGUAAACACUCUUUCAGCAGGGAAGAAGCCACAAGUGACGGUACCUGCAGAAGAAGCGCGGGCAAAUUACUGUGCCAGCAGCCGCGGUAAUACGUAGGGCGCAAGCGUUGUCGGGAAUUAUUGGGCGUAAAGAGCUCGUAGGCGGUUUGUCGCGUUUGCUGUGAAAGCCCGGGGUUUAACCCGGGGUGUGCAUGUGGGUACUGGGCAGACUAGAGUGCCGUAGGGGAGACUGGAAUUCCUGGUGUAGCGGUGGAAUGCGCAGAUAUCAGGAGGAACACCGAUGGCGAAGGCAGGUUUUUGGGCUGUUACUGACGCUGAGGAGGGAAAGCAUGGGGAGCGAACAGGAUUAGAUACCCUGGUAGUCCAUGCGGUAAACGUUGGGCAUUAGGUGUGGGGGACNUUCCACGUUUUACGCGCGCCGUAGCUAACGCAUUAAGUGCCCCGCCUGGGGAGUACGGCCGCAAGGCUAAAACUCAAAGGAAUUGACGGGGGCCCGCACAGAGCGGCGGAGCGUGCGGAUUAUAUUCGAUGCAACGCGAAGCAACCUUACCAAGGCUUGACAUAUACCGGAUCGUUCCAGAGAUGGUUCUUCCCCUUGGGGUCGGUAUACAGGUGGUGCAUGU